UUGUUAGAUCAAUACAAGUGUUCUGAAGUCAAAGAGACGCACAAGUAUCCCAGACUAAAUCAAACAACAUUACUUGGAUCAAAGUGGAGUGUCCGAUACAGCGAAACAAUUCAGAUUGCGGAUACUAUGUUUUGAGGUUUAUUAAAGAAAUCAUUCAAAUGAAUCCAUUAGAGAUUCCAAUCACGUACUUUGAUGACUUUUCUGCUGCUUCUUACAUGAGACUUAAGUUGGAAGAAAUCAAAGAGGAAUUGUGUCAAUUUUAUAUUCAGCAACUAUUCAUAUAGGACCAGGCCGGGAAACGAUCAAACUUUUGAAGUAUAAUAUUAUAGUACUCUAGGUGGUUACUAACUUUGUUCAUACUGUUGCUAAUAUUUGAAGUAUAAUACUGAUUUAGUUUGUUUGACAUGAGUUAGUUACAU